AUUGAACGCUGGCGGCAGGCCUAACACAUGCAAGUCGAGCGGAUGAAGAGAGCUUGCUCUCUGAUUUAGCGGCGGACGGGUGAGUAAUGCCUAGGAAUCUGCCUGGUAGUGGGGGAUACCAGUUGGAAACGACUGUUAAUACCGUAUAAUGUCUACGGACCAAAGUGUGGGACCUUCGGGCCACAUGCUAUCGGAUGCGCCUACGUGGGAUUAGCUAGUUGGUGAGGUAAUGGCUCACCAAGGCGACGAUCCCUAGCUGGUUUGAGAGGAUGAUCAGCCACACUGGAACUGAGACACGGUCCAGACUCCUACGGGAGGCAGCAGUGGGGAAUAUUGGACAAUGGGCGCAAGCCUGAUCCAGCCAUGCCGCGUGUGUGAAGAAGGCCUUCGGGUUGUAAAGCACUUUCAGUAGGGAGGAAGCGUUGUGUGUUAAUAGUACACAGCGUUGACGUUACCUACAGAAGAAGCACCGGCUAACUCUGUGCCAGCAGCCGCCGCAGUAA
rnacentral:rRNA from 1 species